rnacentral:rRNA from 1 species
UACGUAGGGAGCAAGCGUUGUCCGGAAUCAUUGGGCGUAAAGCGCGCGUAGGUGGCCCUGUAAGUCCGUUGUGAAAGUCAAAGGCUCAACCUUUGAAAGCCGAUGGAUACUGCAGGACUAGAGUACGGAAGAGGCGAGUGGAAUUCCUGGUGUAGCGGUGGAAUGCGCAGAUAUCAGGAGGAACACCAAUAGCGAAGGCAGCUCGCUGGGACGUUACUGACACUGAGAGACGAAAGCUAGGGGAGCAAAUGGG